rnacentral:rRNA from 1 species
AUUGAACGCUGGCGGCAGGCUUAACACAUGCAAGUCGAGCGAGCGGCGGACGGGUGAGUAAUGUCUGGGAACCUGCCCGAUGGAGGGGGAUAACUACUGGAAAAGGUAGCUAAUACCGCAUACCAUCAGAUGUGCCCAGAUGGGAUUAGCUAGUAGGUGGGGUAAAGGCUCACCAAGGCGACGAUCCCUAGCUGGUUUGAGAGGAUGACCAGCCACACUGGAACUGAGACACGGCCCAGACUCCUACGGGAGGCAGCAGUGGGGAAUAUUGCACAAUGGGCGAAAGCCUGAUCCAGCCAUGCCGCGUGUGUGAAGAAGGCCUUCGGGUUGUAAAGCACUUUCAGCGAGGAGGCGUUACUCGCAGAAUAAGCACCGGCUAACUCCGUGCCAGCAGCCGCGGUAAUUC